UACGUAGGGCGCAAGCGUUGUCCGGAAUUAUUGGGCGUAAAGAGCUCGUAGGCGGUUUGUCGCGUCUGCCGUGAAAGCCCGGGGCUUAACUCCGGGUCUGCGGUGGAUACGGGCAGACUAGAGGCAGGUAGGGGAGAACGGAAUUCCCGGUGUAGCGGUGAAAUGCGUAGAUAUCUGGAGGAACACCGGUGGCGAAGGCGGCAUCCUGGACCAACACUGACGCUGAUGAGCGAAAGCCAGGGGAGCAAACGGG
rnacentral:rRNA from 1 species